CUGUGGACUAUACAGCAAUGCUAUGCAGAGGGGAAAUUGCAAGAGACUCCACAGAGAGGAGGGAAAUAGGUGCGGGCAGGGGAGGAGCUCAAGGUGGUGGUGGGGCAGCAGGAAGGGCUGCUCCGAGAUCACAGCCUGGGCAGGGAAGAUCAGGAAGUGGCCUUGCCGCGAACACAUGAUCUGAGUUGUGAGAAGAACAUUGGUCCAGCCACCUGUGCAUGACUCAGGGCAAGGCCAAGUGUCUCUCUGUGAGGAGGAAGCUGGGGACUUGGGUGAGCCUCACUGAGGUCCAGAGCCAUGCAGGAAGGAGCUGCAAGAGGCGGGGCUGAGAUCUGUCAAGGCAGAAAGGCCAACUGAAUUUGUUGCUACUAACACAAAUUCCCUGGCUGUCGUUCCUCUCUCUGGCAAGGGGAAUCCUUGCGACCCUGUUAAAACUGUCUUGGGGUCACAUCUCAGUGAAAGAUCAUCAUUAUUAGGAUGACUACAGCUGACCAGAAUUUAGGCCCUGUGGGAGAAAAUUAAGAAAAUGAGAAGACAUCGUCCACAGUGAGGACAAAUAGGACAGCAGGGUCAGCCAAGAUUAUGAACAUGAAAAGAGCCUGCACAAUAUAAAGCUUUGGGAUUGUUUGGAAAGUCUCCUUCCAGAAGCUCGCACUGGGCCUGGUACAUAGCAAGCAGCCAACUGAGAGGUUGACACCUUUCCCGCUUGUCCACCACAGCUGCAUCAUUUGCAGGACUGGAUGCGCCACCUCGGCAUCAUACCUGCCUUGUCCAGGGCGUGGUACAGUGUCUGGCACACUGUGGGUGCCAACCAGUAUUUGACUUGUAGCCAUGAUGGCAGCAGGGAAUAAGGGCAGCUGAGGUGAGCUGUGGGCUCAGUUUGGAGCAGCUGUCUCAUGGAGCGAGAGGCCCCUGCCAAAGAAGGGUGCAGAGGAAAAGCCUGUAACAGAUUCCCAGUUCAUUCAGAAACAGGAACUCAGCUGGUUCUCAUGUGUACAAUAAAGGGCCGCGGAAGCACCCAUUCCAUUUCUGGGUUCUUGGGGAUGCUGACAGGCCCCGCAUGAGUCACAAGAUCACUUCAGGCAGAGACAUGGAUGAAAGAGAUGGCAAGUGACCCCUGUGGAGUUCUUUUAGCUCCUAUGGUUACCAAAUACUUUCCCUCCUUGGGACCUUUGACCAUGCACUUUUACUGCCUGACACCUUCUAAUUCCACUUUUCACCUCCUCAGGACUCAGCUUCAUUGAGCUCUCUAAAGCAGCCUUCCCUUCCAUACCACCUCAUCCCAAGCAAGCCUCCCCUGAACCUGUCUGUAUCUGCACUCAAGUGGUUCUUUUAUGGCAGUCAUCACACGUGAUAAUUGUUGCAUUGAGUUCUUUACUUCCUUUUGCAUCUUUCUUACAGUGACUAGGGGUUGGCAAGCUAUGUCCCACAGGCCAAAUCCAAUCCAUUGUCUGUUUUUGUA